AGUUCGCGCCGGCGCCCAGCAGAGCUCGGGUAUCCUCCGGGAGAAGCCUGGGCACCAGUGCGAGAACGAUAUGUGCCUCCGGUUCCCGGGAGGAAAGAGCUGGAGAGAGCCGGAGCUGAGCAGCACUUCACGCCGAAGUUUCCCCCUUUGAAUCGUCUGGAGUUAUUUCUUUAAAAUACAUCAGAUUCUUCUCCAUGGAGGGAAAACUGAUCGUGCAAAUUAGAGAUUUGGAAACCCCCGCAGGAAGAGUUUUUUAAAAGGCAUGGCAGAGAACUUCUAAAGGCAUUCCAGCUGGUCCUGGUCAUUCCCGCUGAUUCAUGCCAUUCUGGAGGUGGAGGACUGGUGGUUUCUGCUGGAUCAUGCCAUCGCUGUUGAUUCCUGCUCUCUCUCUGCUUCCUGACCAUCAUGACAUGACCAGUCUCCUCUUCCUGCACAAGGUUCUGUUGCCAUGAUCUUCUGUCUUUCCCUGGGCUCAGAACCAGCAGAGCCCAUGAUCAUGGAUGGACUGGGAUCCCUGAAACAGUGAGCCUAAGUCCUUUCCCCAUACUUGUUUCUGCCAGACAGUUUUGUCACAGGGAAAAAUAAGUCACUAUGCUUCUGUUGUAACAGUCAAUAAACAGUUGCCUAAUGUAAGAUCACA
rnacentral:lncRNA from 1 species